ACUGUUGUGUCGAUAUUUUCUCCUCGACCUUGAAAAUUUAUGGUGGGGUCACGCAAACUUCUCAACAGGCCGUACCAAUAUCCGCAGCUGGUCUCCAAGGUGAAGAGUCUCUAGUCGAUAGAAUAAUGUAGGUAAGGGAAGUCGGCAAAUUAGAUCCGUAACUUCGGGAUAAGGAUUGGCUCUGAAGAUUGAGAUAGUCGGGCUUGAUUGGGAAGCAAUAACAUGGUUUAUGUACUCGUUCUGGGUAAAUAGAGAUUUUCGGAUCUUGUUCCUCGGAUAGUAGUUACGUAGCCAAUUGUGGAACUUUCUUGCUAAAAUUUUUAGGGAAUUAUCGCAAGAUAUAUUCCUUUUAAAUUAUAACGACUAUCAAUUAACAAUCAAUUCAGAACUGGCACGGACUUGGGGAAUCCGACUGUCUAAUUAAAACAAAGCAUUGUGAUGGCCCUAACGGGUGUUGACACAAUGUGAUUUCUGCCCAGUGCUCUGAAUGUCAAAGUGAAGAAAUUCAAGUAAGCGCGGGUAAACGGCGGGAGUAACUAUGACUCUCUUAAGGUAGCCAAAUGCCUCGUCAUCUAAUUAGUGACGCGCAUGAAUGGAUUAACGAGAUUCCUACUGUCCCUAUCUACUAUCUAGCGAAACCACAGCCAAGGGAACGGGCUUGGAAUAAUUAGCGGGGAAAGAAGACCCUGUUGAGCUUGACUCUAAUCUGGCAGUGUAAGGAGACAUAAGAGGUGUAGCAUAAGUGGGAGAUACUGGUCUUUCGGGGCCUUUGUCACCAAUGAAAUACCACUACUCUUAUUGUUUCCUUACUUACUUGAUUAAGUGGAACGUGUAUCAUUUCUUAGCCAUUAUACGGAUAUAUUUAUAUAUCUUAUGGUAUUGGGUUAUGAUGCAAGCUUCUUGAUCAAAGUACUAAGAGUUUGUAUAUAAUUGUAAACAAAUUUUAAUGAGAUGAUGGCAUUUCGGUGCUAUUGUCAAUAUUUGAAAUUUGGUAUAACUCCCAAUACUCAGGUAUGAUCCAAUUCAAGGACAUUGCCAGGUAGGGAGUUUGACUGGGGCGGUACAUCUCUCAAAUAAUAACGGAGGUGUCCCAAGGCCAGCUCAGUGCGGACAGAAACCACACAUAGAGCAAAAGGGCAAAUGCUGACUUGAUCUCGGUGUUCAGUACACACAGGGACAGCAAAAGCUCGGCCUAUCGAUCCUUUUGGUUUAAGGAGUUUUUAACAAGAGGAAAUUGGAAUCUGAACUCCAAACACUCCACUCCGAUUUGGAUGAAUUAUUGAACGAAGCCAAGAACUCCGAAGAGAAGGCCAAGAAGGCUAUGGUUGAUGCUGCCCGCCUUGCCGAUGAACUCCGCGCCGAACAAGAUCACGCCCAAACCCAAGAGAAACUCAGAAAGGCCCUUGAACAACAAAUCAAGGAAUUGCAAGUCCGCUUGGACGAAGCCGAAGCCAAUGCCCUCAAGGGUGGCAAGAAGGCUAUCCAAAAAUUGG
rnacentral:rRNA from 1 species